UCCCUGAUGUUAGCGGCGGACGGGUGAGUAACACGUGGGUAACCUGCCUGUAAGACUGGGAUAACUCCGGGAAACCGGGGCUAAUACCGGAUGCUUGAUUGAACCGCAUGGUUCAAUUAUAAAAGGUGGCUUUUAGCUACCACUUACAGAUGGACCCGCGGCGCAUUAGCUAGUUGGUGAGGUAACGGCUCACCAAGGCAACGAUGCGUAGCCGACCUGAGAGGGUGAUCGGCCACACUGGGACUGAGACACGGCCCAGACUCCUACGGGAG
rnacentral:rRNA from 1 species